GACGAACGCUGGCGGCGUGCUUAACACAUGCAAGUCGUACGGUAAGGCCCUUUCGGGGGUACACGAGUGGCGAACGGGUGAGUAACACGUGCGUAACCUGCCCACAACUUUGGGAUAACGCUAGGAAACUGGUGCUAAUACUGGAUAUGUGCUCCUGCUGCAUGGUGGGGGUUGGAAAGCUCCGGCGGUUGUGGAUGGACUCGCGGCCUAUCAGCUUGUUGGUGGGGUAGUGGCCUACCAAGGCGGCGACGGGUAGCCGGCCUGAGAGGGUGACCGGCCACACUGGGACUGAGAUACGGCCCAGAUUCCGACGGGAGGCAGCAGGGGGGAAGAUUGCACAAGGGGCGCAAGCCUGAUGCAGCAACUCCGCGGGCGGGAUGACGGUCUUCGUGUUGUAAACCGCUUUCAGCAGGGACGAAGCUUUUUGUGACGGUACCUGCAGAAGAAGCACCGGCUAACUACGUG
rnacentral:rRNA from 1 species